UAAGUUGUUAGCUCAGUUGGCAGAGCAGUGGAUUCUUAAUCCAUUAGUCACGUGUUCGAAUCAUGUACAUCUUAA
rnacentral:tRNA from 1 species